UGGGGAAUUUUGGACAAUGGGGGCAACCCUGAUCCAGCAAUGCCGCGUGUGUGAAGAAGGCCUUCGGGUUGUAAAGCACUUUUGUCCGGAAAGAAAUCGCCCUGGCUAAUAUCCGGGGUGGAUGACGGUACUGGAAGAAUAAGCACCGGCUAACUACGUGCCAGCAGCCGCGGUAAUACGUAGGGUGCAAGCGUUAAUCGGAAUUACUGGGCGUAAAGCGUGCGCAGGCGGUUGUGCAAGACAGAUGUGAAAUCCCCGGGCUUAACCUGGGAAUGGCAUUCGUGACUGCACGGCUAGAGUGUGUCAGAGGGGGGUAGAAUUCCACGUGUAGCAGUGAAAUGCGUAGAUAUGUGGAGGAACACCGUGGCGAAGGCAGCCCCCUGGGAUAACACUGACGCUCAUG
rnacentral:rRNA from 1 species